rnacentral:rRNA from 1 species
UACGAAGGGGGCUAGCGUUGUUCGGAUUUACUGGGCGUAAAGCGCACGUAGGCGGAUCGUUAAGUCGGGGGGUGAAAUCCUGGAGCUCAACUCCAGAACUGCCUUCGAUACUGGCGAUCUUGAGUCCGGAAGAGGUGAGUGGAACUCCUAGUGUAGAGGUGGAAUUCGUAGAUAUUAGGAAGAACACCAGUGGCGAAGGCGGCUCACUGGUCCGGUACUGACGUGCGUGAGGUGACGAAAGGCGUGGGG